rnacentral:rRNA from 1 species
UACGAAGGGGGCUAGCGUUGCUCGGAAUUACUGGGCGUAAAGCGCACGUAGGCGGCUUUCUAAGUCGGGGGUGAAAUCCUGGAGCUCAACUCCAGAACUGCCUUCGAUACUGGAAAGCUCGAGUCCGGGAGAGGUGAGUGGAACUGCGAGUGUAGAGGUGAAAUUCGUAGAUAUUCGCAAGAACACCAGUGGCGAAGGCGGCUCACUGGCCCGUAACUGACGCUGAGGCACGAAAGCGUGGGGAGCAAACAGG